rnacentral:rRNA from 1 species
GAUGAACGCUGGCGGCGUGCCUAAUACAUGCAAGUCGAGCGAACGGACGAGAAGCUUGCUUCUCUGAUGUUAGCGGCGGACGGGUGAGUAACACGUGGAUAACCUACCUAUAAGACUGGGAUAACUUCGGGAAACCGGAUCUAAUACCGGAUAAUAUUUUGAACCGCAUUGUUCAAAAGUGAAAGACGGUCUUGCUUUCACUUAUAGAUGGAUCCGCGCUGCAUUAGCUAGUUGGUAAGGUAACGGCUUACCAAGGCAACGAUGCAUAGCCGACCUGAGAGGGUGAUCGGCCACCCUGGAACUGAGACACGGUCCAGACUACUACGGGAGGCAGCAGUAGGGAAUCUUCCGCAAUGGGCGAAAGCAUGACGGAGCAACGCCGAGUGAGUGAUGAAGGUCUUCGGAUCGUAAAACUCUGUUAUUAGGGAAGAACAUAUGUGUAAGUAACUGUGCACAUCUUGACGGUACCUAAUCAGAAAGCCACGGCUAACUACGUG